GAACUACCACUCCCAGAAUGCAAUUGCUUGGCUUUGUUGCCGGAAAACAUCCGUUCAGGAUGAACAGACAUGAACUCCAAAGGUACAGAACAACUACAGCGACAAAGAGAUGGAAAGGGAGUUGUGGAGAAGGAAGAACCGGAGGAGAACCACAUUUGUUCACUCACACUGGGUCAGGUGGUCAAUGUCGUACGGUUCCAUGGUAGCCUCCGGUUUUCUGCACGUGGAGUUGGAGCUGAAAGUUCACCUUCGCCACCUGUCGUUUAGUGAGCCCGUGCGCUACAAUCCACUGGAGUAUGCCUGUGAACUGCACUGCUGCUUCGAUUAGACAUACUUUUGCUGCGGACAGACGAUUCCCUUCGGCUGUCAGCCGCGUCUGUCCGAUGAACCCGGGACGCUUCGGCAUGGCUCAGGCCGGGGUCCCCGUUGGUAAGGUGAACCAUGCCCAUGAUUGGCUGAAGAUCACUGGUGAGGUGGGACAUCCCCCUUCGGAGCACCCAAAGCGACUAAUUAAAGGCAUGGCCUGCAUUCAGAGGGAAGUGAGAGUCACCCAUUUCUGGAACUUCUUCCGCAAGCUGUGUGCUGAGCCAGCUGUAUUAUUCUGCCAUUUCUUCGUACACAACCCGUGCCCACGUGUUCAUGGGUACCACCGGCAAGAACCUGAUGCCCCCCCGAGCUAGUCAUUGGGGAAUGUGAGGCCCUCCUGUGCCCCCUGUGACAUAGCACUGUGCCAGGCUGUGGCUGCGCUGGGCGUGACCAUGGGGAUUGGGGGUUGCAGAGCAGCAAGCACAGCAAGCCCUCUCGGCUGCGGACAUGGAGGCAUGAGUGGAGGGCAUCAUGCACUCCUCUGCUGGGAGGCGGUGUCCAAGGCCAAGCUGGAGGAACAAGGCAUCCUAUCCCUACUGAGCACAUAACCUCUAGCCAAGCAGCCUCCAUGAACAAUGCAGUUUGCUGGCCUGGGGGUAGGAGUUGCCUUAGAUCAGCAUCUAGUGGCAAUGUUUGAUGGGAUCACUAUCCUCCACGGUACCUUAAAAUUUUAACACACUCACAUUGUGUUUACAAAUUGUUCAAUGACUCAUCACUCUGCUGUAACAUUGCUGUCAGAUGGUGUUGUCCUGCCUCUCUGCUCUCCCAGGCCCUCUCACACAGCAGUUCCCAGUUGAGCAGCAUUUACCCCAGAGCUCUCAUGUUUAUAGGCCAUGUGGAAGCAUACUGCAUCACAAUGACUCUCCUCAGAUCCUGUUAUAUCCAUUACAGAGAAGAUAAAUGUCUGUAUUUACCUCACUGUGGUGUGUACUGCCUCACAGCAUGUAGACAGCUGCACUGUCUCUGACCUCUGACCUUUGUGAGGACAUUCUGUAGCAUAUUACCUUGAAGCAAUUACACCCAGAUCUGGCUAAGAAAUACCUCACUACAUAUUCCAGGUAAACGUAGUUUGUCAAUCACACCUCCUAAUGAGUUUUCUAUUCCCUCACCCAGUCUCAGACAGCAGAGCUUGUUACCAAUAAUGACCCGCUAUUAUGAAGAGCCAUGACUUUAUGUUGCCUUCAUGAUGUAGCCCAGUGGGGCGCGACCCUUGGGUGGGACGUGAGGGUUCGGGAGGGGCAUGUCCCCCACCCACCCUCAAAAAAAUAUAUGCAGGGGUGUUCCCCAAUGAGGAACGGGGCACAAGUGAAAACGUUUGGGAACCACUAAUUUAGCCUGAGGCUAAUGACAUCUUACUCUCAAUUUAAACCAGGGUCCUUCUUGUGGUCAUUAUGGUAGUUGUUCUUGUUUCCCACUUGGUCUCAGCAGUGGUUUGCAAAUUGGGAGUGAAUGUAGACUAGUUUCAGUUUUUUUGUAACAGCAUUGCAAUAGCAAUGUUUCUCCUUUGACCAAUUUAGUACAUGUUCAAGCCAACGAUUGACCUUUGCUGAUGCUGUAUGUAUGUGGAUGCCCUGUCCUUACCUUUGUUACAUCUUGGAAGGACUUCUGCAGUCUCUUCCUCUGUUGGAAUCCUACCAUUACUACUAAGAAAGUUCUGACUGUCAAUGUCCUACUGUUUACCCACACUAGUGCAUAGUACGUGUAAAGCCCUCUCUGUAACGUACGCCCCAUUAGGUCAUGUAUGAAUAAGAAUAAGCCCUUGUUGAUGACAUAAAGGGCACUCAAAUGUUCUUGCACCAUGUUGUUAUACCACUCAGGUUAAGCUUGUAAUGGAGGUUAAGCUUGUAAUGGAAAAGGGGCUCAAGUGUACAGUCCUCCUUGCAGGCUCCUCUCCAAUGAUGCUUCCUCCCUUACACACCAUUCUGAACAACUCAGACAAAAUGCCACAUAGCAGGUGAUCAAGUGUGUGUGUGUGUGAACCUAAAUCAGGUGAUAUUUUUCUAUAUGCAUGGGAUUCAUCUUAUACUAUGGGGUUGUGAUGUACUUUAGUUUGUACUUGAAGUUAGUGUUUUGUUUUAAAGAUUUUUGUCUUGUCCAUGUUUUUUAAAAAUAGAUGUACAUUUCUCAUUGCAUUGAGUUUUCUCUGGCAUUGUUAUAAUGAAUGUUUUUGCACAUGAACUCAUUUCCACUAUGUUGCAUUUAUUUUGUAAGGCAAUAAAUGGACAAUAUACUGCA